UCGGGAAUUUUUCACAAUGGGCGCAAGCCUGAUGGAGCGACGCCGCGUGGGGGAUGAAUGGCUUCGGCCCGUAAACCCCUGUCAUUUGCGAUCAACCGUUAUUAUUUAAAAGAUGAUAACCUGAUAGUAGCGAAAGAGGAAGGGACGGCUAACUCUGUGCCAGCAGCCGCGGUAAUACAGAGGUCCCAAGCGUUGUUCCGAUUUACUGGGCGUAAAGGGUGCGUAGGUGGCGGUGUAAGUCGGAUGUGAAAUCUCCGAGCUCAACUCGGAAACUGCAUUGGAAACUACAUUGCUCGAGGGUUGGAGGGGGGACUGGAAUACUGGGUGUAGCAGUGAAAUGCGUAGAUAUCAAGUGGAACACCAGUGGCGAAGGCGAGUCCCUGGACAACUCCUGACACUGAGGCACGAAAGCUAGGGGAGCAAACAG
rnacentral:rRNA from 1 species